GUCUAAUUUAAAUAUACAUCAAAAGAUUAAAUAUCUUUUGUCUCACUCGGUAAUUGGAUUCUAGGAUUUUCACGUCUCUUCACUCUCGAGUGCACUCAGUCCGUAAAAGAAUAGCCAGUGGGUGCUCUUGAGGUCUAUGAUCAAAAUAAAAAUCUAUAAAGUAGCACAUGUCCACAUAAUAUUCGCUUCUAUCUUCAUAUUUUCAUUCCACGUAAAAUUUAUACGUGGUCUCUGUCAGAGUGGGGAGAGAAAAAAAUAUUGAGUACGAACCAGCAGCCAACUUCAUCCGUAUUGAGGUUUUGUUACACAUGCAGGCAAGUUAAGUGUUGUUUGGUUAGUUAUUUUAUUUUGUAUUAUUUGUACUUUAUUUACUUACUUGAUUGAUUGAUUAAUAUUUCAAUUAUUUUUGCUUUAUUUGUUUUUUAUAAUCAUAAUAAUACUAUGGUAAAUAAUUACUUUGAUAAUUCAAAAACAUGUGUGUGAUUGCUUGAGUUUAAUUGUGACAUUUAAUAGCAAAGCUGAAAAUAUAUGGCAUAAUUAAAAAUAAUAAAUUACUUGGGAUUAAGUUGAGGUAAAUAAUGAGCAAAGGAGAGAUUUCCUGAGGGUAGACGAAAACCCGUCGACAGUUGUCAUUGUUUGACGUUGAUGAUAAUCUUAAAAAAUUGCCGGAUAUUGAUAUGUCGGCUAAUUUAAUUUUCAUUCAUUUUAUGAUUUUCAAAAACAAGUACAGGAAUCAUACAGAGUAGCUCAAGUUUUCUUGAAAAAAAAAUCAACUGCAAGAUUGGAUAAAGAAGCAGUGAAUAUUUGAUGGAAGACAAAAAUAAUCAGAUCCCCUAUUUUUAUAUUACAUUAUGCUCCGGAGAAUUCCACAUUAGGCAUUAAAGAUGAACCAAUAAACGCUAUUGAUCCAUCUUUAGAUUACAUGUUUUUGUCAUACAUAAAUUACGAAGAAAUAGAAGAGAGCCUGGAGCAACCCCAAAGGGGAUAAAGAAGAAGAGGCGUAUACGGUGGCUGAAAAAAUCAAUAAAAAUAAGUUAUGAUAACGCUUUAGACCUAGAUUGUGUUACAAUUUAGAUGAUAAUUUAUUAAGUAGUAUUAAUGACACUAGUCGGAAUGAAAGAUAUCAACUGUCAAAGCGGUGCAAUGUGAUACCCAUGUACUUUGUACUUGCUUCAUUAUACCAAUCUCGGAGAUAUUAAUUCAUAUCUCUUUUGUCGACUAUCGUUCUAGGUACGGGCUGUUCUUUUGUUGUUUGUGAAAAAGACCAACAACAAGCCCGACGUGUAAAAUCCACACAGGAAGAUUGUUUCGUACAUUGUUACAAACAGGCGACAAACUUUAUGUUUGUGAUGUUUAUGGUAUUGCGUUUACAUUCAGUGGAGCAUUAGGAGACACUUGUAGACGCAUGCUGGUGAUAAACCGUUUGGUUGUGAUAAACAUAGUAGUAAAUUUGUCGCCCUGUAUUACUUGAACAGUUAUAUGGAGAGAUAUUGUAAUAACCAAAGUAUAAGCCAAAAAUAAUUUAAAUGACAGCCGUAAUGGUUAAUGGUGUUGAUGUAAAUGCAAAUGCAAAUACAGAUCUGAGUAAUAAUAUUGAUGGUGGCAGUAUUAUAAAUGACAAUGCUAAUGAUCGUGCUGAAUCUAUUGAAAAUAAUGGUUAAAUUAUUAUAAUUUAGUGAAUGAUGUUACUGUUGGUAAUGACGAGUUUAUUGAGAAUACUGAGCUUAUUGAUCAUGCUAAUUUGAAGCGUAUUAAUCAUCAAGACUCGAAAAAAAAAUUAUUGAUGAUCUGGUUAAUUAAAUUAAACGAGCAAUCUUGCAGUCACUAUGUGACUGCCGUGACUUAUGAGAUAAACAGAAAUAA
rnacentral:lncRNA from 1 species